rnacentral:tRNA from 2 species
GCAGUCGUGGCCGAGGGGUUAAGGUGUUGGACUAGAAAUCCAUUGGGGUCUCCCCGCACAGGUUCAAAUCCUGUCAACCGCG